rnacentral:lncRNA from 1 species
CCCGCCUCUUUGCGUUUAUCUGCUCUCUUUGUUCGUCCGUCAAUUUUUUUUUAGCCCAACUGGAGGUAUCUGCCUUGUUUCCUUGGUGUUAUUCAAGACAGCUUCUUGUGUCAUAUUAGUUGGGUUAGCUAUUUGAACAAAGGAAACAAUCCAUCUUACUAAAAAGACAGUACCCAUGUACAAUGCUAACUCAUUAGGUUGAAACUUAAAAUAGAUAAGAAGGCUACCUGAUAUCGUAAGGGGAUCCACAUUUUCAUCUUGAUUAAGGGUACAUGAUAAUGACAACGAUGCAUCAUAACAAGCUUGCAUGUUUGAGGUCAUAAUCUUAUUUUUUUUGUCACUCAGCAUUUCAUUUCGUCCAAUUGCUUGUGUCUGCCUUGUUUGUAUAAUACUUUCCAUGUCAGCUCCUGGUGUCAUACGAAAAAUAACGCAUGUAGUACUAUCAUAAAGAUGAAACAUAAAUUUUUAUCGUCCAUCAACAACCUACAUAAGAAAACCCAUAGCUUGUUUUCAAAAAGUGUACCUCGUAUCACAUGGCAAGGUUGAUGAACAUUCGUGAUAUCAUUAAAGAGCCCUGUGACAUGACAGUUAGCAUUCCAGAAUAAGGCAGCACAUUUUCAUACUAAAAAGAAUGACGAAACAUAUCACAAUCUUACUUGUCGUCGUUUGGUGAGUUGUCUUCUCGUCUGGGUUAAGCAUAUAUUUUUUUCUUCCGAUAAGAAUCCCACCUCUUUGCAUUUAUAUGUUCCCUUUGUUCUUCAGUCAAGGUGUUUUUGCAAACAAUUGGAGGUAUUUGUCUUGUUUCUUUGCUAUUAUUCAAGACAGCUCCACCUGUCAUGUUAGUUGGUGUGUCAUAUUAGUUGGGUUAGCUAUUUGAACAAAGGAAACAAUCCAUCUUACUAAAAAGACAGUACCCAUGUACAAUGCUAACUCAUUAGGUUGAAACUUAAAAUAGAUAAGAAGGCUACCUGAUAUCGUAAGGGGAUCCACAUUUUCAUCUUGAUUAAGGGUACAUGAUAACGACAACGAUGCAUCAUAACAAGCUUGCAUGUUUGAGGUUAUAAGCUUAUUUUUUUGUCACUCAACAUUUCAUUGCGUCCAAUUGGCGGUGUCUGCCUUG